GACAGAGGGUGCAAACGUUGUUCGGAAUUACUGGGCGUAAAGCGCGUGUAGGCGGCCACUUAAGUCCUGCGUGAAAUCUUGCGGCUCAACCGCAAGCGGUCGUGGGAAACUGGGUGGCUAGAGUGCGGGAGAGGAGAGUGGAAUUCCUGGUGUAGCGGUGGAAUGCGCAGAUAUCAGGAAGAACACCCGUGGCGAAGGCGGCUCUCUGGAACGCAACUGACGCUGAGACGCGAAAGCGUGGGGAGCAAACAGG
rnacentral:rRNA from 1 species